GACGAACGCUGGCGGCGUGCUUUAGGCAUGCAAGUCGAACGCGAAAGCCCCUUCGGGGGUGAGUAGAGUGGCGAACGGGUGAGUAACACGUGGGUAACCUGCCCCUCGCAGGGGGAUAACCGGGGGAAACCCCGGCUAAUACCCCGUACGCUUGCUGGGGCGCAUGCUCCGGCAAGGAAAGGUAGCUUCGGCCAUCCGGCGAGGGAGGGGCCCGCGGCCCAUUAGCUAGUUGGUGGGGUAACGGCCCACCAAGGCGACGAUGGGUAGCGGGCCUGAGAGGGGGGUCAGCCACGCGGGGACUGAGACACGUCCCAGCGUCCUACGGGAGGCAGCAGCCAGGAAUCUUGCGCAAGGGGCGAAAGCCUGACGCAGCAACGCCGCGUGGGCGAUGAAGGCCUGCGGGUCGUAAAGCCCUGUUGUCGGGGACGAAGGGCGAAGGGUUAAAAGCCCCUAGCCUGACGGUACCCGACGAGGAAGCCCCGGCUAACUACGUG
rnacentral:rRNA from 1 species